rnacentral:tRNA from 1 species
GCCUGAAUAGCUCAUUUGGCAGAGCAGUGCAUUCGUAACGCACAGGUGGAGGGUUCGAAUCCCUCUUCAGGCA